rnacentral:lncRNA from 1 species
UGCAAGAAGUACGUAAAAGAGCCGCUGCAACAGCUAUCAGCCAACAGUUCUUUUCCGCACAGAAGUGUUACGGGUCGCAAAGAAGACUACGCAACAUUGCAGCUGGUGGUGCUAGUUUGCCUAGGGUCGGAUUUAGGCGGACGCGUUUCGUUAGCUACACAGUGUUCCAUGACCGAUUAAUAAGCUGCGCGUAGUACGCGAACAGUCUGACGGCAAGCCUCUACGUAGGUUGACUUGUAACAAAGUGAAAAGCCAUUUCUUGUGCGAGCACACGAGUCUCUGGCUAGUUGUUUUCAGAUAGGAACCAGCAGCCAGGUUCGCCUAAUCCGAAUGCAACAGCGGCAGCUGUUGUUAAGUUCCGAAGAACUGUGGUAAUGGUGAAAGUAAGAGAGAUUUAUUCCCAACCACCGAGCCUAUCUCUGCUGGUACUGCUUUCUAAUGGCGAAGUUGUGCCUAGUUAUUAUGAACACGUGCCAAAGCAGGAGUAGGCACACAGCAAAGCAAAAUAUACUUCUACGGGUAACCGUUCCACAUUUGAAAUGGAUCAAUCAGGAUGGGUGGUGAAUGUCGAGCUAACUUACAUACUGCACGUGAACAAAAGUGCCUACAAAUACAAUACGCACCAAAAAAAAACGUGCAUAGUAAGUAUUGUUUUUGUCCAGAAAACAUUGCUAAGACUGCAGUACAAACAGGCAUCGCUAGCAGCUGAUGAGACCGCUGGCAGGCUUAUGGAAAAGGGACUUGGGCCGUGAGCUUUUUAGUUCUAAUAAUGAACAUUUCGUUGUCGUUCUGUCUGACGGUAUUGCAGCAAAAUAAUUUUUGUUUCCUCCUAUGAUCCUAUGAAAUCCUAUGAA